GCAUUAGUUCUCUUCCCCACUCUCGCUUAAUGCAAGUUAUCUGGGAAACAGCACAUCCAAGCAUCAUGAGUAGGUUAGACAUUUAUUUGUAGGACAGAUUCAUGCAGCAGAGGCUACAGAAAUGGGAGUCUGGCAGGAAAGUGUGUGUGAAAGCCAAGGAAGGCUCUGAAAGUUGCAUAAUGUGGUGCUCCCACAAGAAAGGCACUAAGGUAAUGGGAGCGGUGGGGACCUGAGCAGAUGGGAGGCAGUGUGGUGGCACGGUGGGACUGAGAGGCAGAAAGCAGGAGGAACCCUGCUUACCUUCUGCAAGCGCCACUGCAGGACAGACGGAGGAGGAGCCAACUAGCGGAACUGGGAGACCCAUGGUUCCAACGCUAAGGCUCCCGCUGAGGAAUACAAACUCACCCUGGCCCCAGUUGUGAUUCAGCACCAGCCACUGUCCACUCCAGCUGAAAUCCUAAUGGGGAUGAUUCCAAGACUAACUAGUUUCUGAGAUAUCAGCAAGGAUUCCAGGAAUCUCCCAGAGCCAGACGCAGAAGACAGAUCAUCCGAUUUCUAGAGCAAAGCCCUUUC
ensembl:lncRNA AOAH-IT1 AOAH intronic transcript 1